rnacentral:rRNA from 1 species
GACGAACGCUGGCGGCGUGCUUAACACAUGCAAGUCGAACGGUAAGGCCCUUCGGGGUACACGAGUGGCGAACGGGUGAGUAACACGUGGGUGAUCUGCCCUGCACUUCGGGAUAAGCCUGGGAAACUGGGUCUAAUACCGGAUAGGACCACUGCCUGCAUGGGUGGUGGUGGAAAGCUUUUGCGGUGUGGGAUGGGCCCGCGGCCUAUCAGCUUGUUGGUGGGGUGAUGGCCUACCAAGGCGACGACGGGUAGCCGGCCUGAGAGGGUGACCGGCCACACUGGGACUGAGAUACGGCCCAGACUCCUACGGGAGGCAGCUGUGGGGAAUAUUGCACAAUGGGCGCAAGCCUGAUGCAGCGACGCCGCGUGAGGGAUGACGGCCUUCGGGUUGUAAACCUCUUUCAGCUAUGACGAAGCGCAAGUGACGGUAGUAGCAGAAGAAGGACCGGCCAACUACGUGCCAGCAGCCGCAGUAA